AGAAUCAACGCUGGCGGCGUGCCUAACACAUGCAAGUCGAACGAGAAAGUGGAGCAAUCCAUGAGUAAAGUGGCGCACGGGUGAGUAACACGUGACUAACCUACCUUUUAGUGGGGGGAUAACCUAGGGAAACCUGGGCUAAUACCGCAUAAUACCUACGGGUCAAAGCAGCAAUGCGCUGAAAGAGGGGGUCGCGGUCGAUUAGUUAGUUGGCAGGGUAAUGGCCUACCAAGACUGUGAUCGAUAUCCGGCCUGAGAGGGCGCACGGACACACUGGAACUGAAACACGGUCCAGACUCCUACGGGAGGCAGCAGUGGGGAAUUUUGCGCAAUGGGGGAAACCCUGACGCAGCAACGCCGCGUGGAGGAUGAAGUCCCUUAGGGACGUAAACUCCUUUCGAUCGGGACGAUAAUGACGGUACCGGAAGAAGAAGCCCGGCUAACUUCGCGCCAGCAGCCGC
rnacentral:rRNA from 1 species